rnacentral:rRNA from 1 species
ACCUACCUUCCUUACUCGGGUAUAGCCUCGGGAAACUGAGAGUAAUCCCCGAUGAAGUGUACGAGGAGCAUUUUUUGCACACCAAAGAUUUAUCGGUGAGGGGUGGGGAUGCGUUCCAUUAGGUAGUAGGCGGGGCAACGGCCCACCUAGCCGAUGAUGGAUAGGGGUUCUGAGAGGAAGGUCCCCACAUUGGAACUGCGACACGGUCCAAACUCCUACGGGAGGCAGCAGUGAGGAAUAUUGGUCAAUGGUCGGAAGGCUGAACCAGCCAAGUAGCGUGCAGGAUGACGGCCCUAUGGGUUGUAAACUGCUUUUGUGCGGGAAUAACGGUCAUUACGUGUAAUGAUGUGCAUGUACCGUACGAAUAAGGAUCGGCUAACUCCGUGCCAGCCGCAGC